AACGAACGCUGGCGGCAGGCUUAACACAUGCAAGUCGAACGAGAUCUUCGGAUCUAGUGGCAGACGGGUGAGGAACACGUGGGAACAUCCCUUUCAGUUCGGAAUAACGUUGGGAAACUAACGCUAAUACCGGAUACGUCCUUCGGGAGAAAGAUUUAUCGCUGAAAGAUUGGCCCGCGUCUGAUUAGAUAGUGGGUGAGGUAACGGCUCACCAGGGCUACGAUCAGUAGCUGAUCUGAGAGGAUGAUCAGCCACAUUGGGACUGAGACACGGCCCAAACUCCUACGGGAGGCAGCAGUGGGGAAUAUUGGACAAUGGGCGCAAGCCUGAUCCAGCCAUGCCGCGUGAGUGAUGACGGCCUUCGGGUUGUAAAGCUCUUUUGUCCGGGAAGAUAAUGACUGUACCGGAAGAAUAAGCCCCGGCAAACUUCGUGCCAGCAGCCGCCGUAA
rnacentral:rRNA from 1 species